rnacentral:rRNA from 1 species
UAGGGGGCAAGCGUUAUCCGGAAUUACUGGGUGUAAAGGGCGCGUAGACGGUAGUGCAAGCCUGGAGUGAAAGGCAGGGGCCCAACCCCUGGACUGCUCUGGAAACUGUAUAACUGGAGUGCAGGAGAGGUAAGCGGAAUUCCUAGUGUAGCGGUGAAAUGCGUAGAUAUUAGGAGGAACACCAGUGGCGAAGGCGGCUUACUGGACUGUAACUGACGUUGAGGCUCGAAAGCGUGGGGAGCAAA